AGAAAGACACUUCCGCUUCCGGGGCGGGGCUAGGGCUCAGAGGCGGAAGUGACUCGGCGCGGCUAGGAAGUCCGCGGGCUUACGCGUUGCUUAGGGUUCGCUGGGGCGAGCGAUAAGAUAUUGGCCAGGGCUUUCUCACAGCUCCUAGAGACGAAACUCAGACGUGCAUCACGUGGCCCUCUGAAAACAUGGAGCUUAUUGCUCCGAAGCCAACAGGAGAGCUUCUCCCAGUCCUGCUUCUGCUGCUGUUACAGCUGCUUACAACAGCUGUUAUCAUGGCUAGAGUCUUAUAUUCAAUGUGACACCAGAGGAGAAAUGGUUCCCACUUUUGCUGUAUUAUAUAAACUAAUAAAAGGAGGAACAUUGCAUUUUACUCUCAAACCCUGUCUACAACCAGUCCAUCAAAGAUCUUAGGAGCCAUUUUUAGUUCUUGGCAACCAUGGCUUUUGAGUGGGUAAAUGCUAGCAGCACAUGAAAUCCAUCUUAAACUGAUUGUCCACUUUUUUCUUUGACAUUCUCUUGAGAACAGCCAGUAGUUUAUUAGUGUGCUUAGAAAAUAAGAAUUUCCAGUAUGAAUCUAUAUGGGCACUCAUGUUUCACAGACUUCAAAGUUACAUCUUGAGCAUAUUUUGUCACAUAGUCUUCCUUACAAUUUAAAAUAAAUGUGUUGUAAAAAAAUGAU